rfam:Cavia porcellus supercont2_52 genomic scaffold, whole genome shotgun sequence.
AAACAGGUUCUUUUUAGAAUGUUAGAACCACAGAAUAUAUAUAUAUAUACUUGU